GCCUACGUGGUGCACACUCUGCACACUCGACUCGUAUUCGAGAGAUCCGAGGUUCUAGUCCCGGCGAGGGCA
rnacentral:tRNA from 1 species